rnacentral:lncRNA from 1 species
AUUGAGAGUUCCAUGAAGAACGAUGGAUAUGGAGAUUGGAGAGUGAGGAAGAGUGAAACGGCGGACCGAGAAAAAUAGAAUGAAACCUUAUGAAAUUUUUCAGCGAAAUUUUUUAGUGUUUUAUUUUUUUAUUCCGGAAAGACCUAUAAUAGCGUUUCAAUAAAAGUGCUAUCAAAUGGAUAUAUAUUUUAUAGCGCUCGCAAGGAAAGCGCUAUUAAAGGCUUCUUUCAAAAUUUGUUUUCACUAUAUUAUAGCACUUCUGACAAAAAGCGCUAUUAUAAACAUCAGAGUGAGAUUUUUAAUAGCACUUCAGAAAAAGUGCUAUUAAAUUAGUGCUAUUGUAGGCCAAAAUUGUAGUAGUGA